AGUGAACGCUGGCGGUAGGCCUAACACAUGCAAGUCGAACGGCAGCACAGUAAGAGCUUGCUCUUACGGGUGGCGAGUGGCGGACGGGUGAGGAAUACAUCGGAAUCUACUUUUUCGUGGGGGAUAACGUAGGGAAACUUACGCUACUACCGCAUACGACCUACGGGUGAAAGCAGGGGAUCUUCGGACCUUGCGCGAUUGAAUGAGCCGAUGUCGGAUUAGCUAGUUGGCGGGGUAAAGGCCCACCAAGGCGACGAUCCGUAGCUGGUCUGAGAGGAUGAUCAGCCACACUGGAACUGAGACACGGUCCAGACUCCUACGGGAGGCAGCAGUGGGGAAUAUUGGACAAUGGGCGCAAGCCUGAUCCAGCCAUACCGCGUGGGUGAAGAAGGCCUUCGGGUUGUAAAGCCCUUUUGUUGGGAAAGAAAAGCAGCAGGUUAAUACCCCGCUGCUCUGACGGUACCCAAAGAAUAAGCACCGGCUAACUUCGUG
rnacentral:rRNA from 1 species